rnacentral:rRNA from 1 species
CGAGACCUCAGGUCAGGCGGGGCUACCCGCUGAAUUUAAGCAUAUCAAUAAGCGGA